GGAGUUUUGGGUCAAGCUCCUAGUAAUCCUCCUACGUCUACGCCGGCGCCACCCACACCACCGGCUUCUACUCCUCCUCCGACGACUCAAGCACCGCCUACACCAACCGCCACUCCGCCACCGGUUUCUACUCCUCCUCCCACUUCAUCACCGCCCCCAGUGACAGCUUCUCCACCCCCAGUUUCAACUCCUCCACCCAGUUCUCCUCCUCCUGCAACUCCACCACCUGCUUCUCCUCCUCCUGCAACUCCACCUCCAGCUUCUCCACCUCCUGCCACUCCUCCACCAGCUUCUCCACCUCCCGCCACUCCACCACCUGCAACCCCACCGCCAGCAACUCCUCCUCCUGCUACCCCACCACCAGCUCCAUUGGCUUCUCCUCCAGCCACAGUCCCAGCUAUCUCUCCAGUACAAACACCAUUGACAUCGCCACCAGCUCCGCCGACCGAGGCCCCAGCACCUACCCUCGGGG
rnacentral:lncRNA from 1 species